rnacentral:rRNA from 1 species
GCCUAACACAUGCAAGUCGAGCGGAUGAAGGGAGCUUGCUCCUGAAUUCAGCGGCGGACGGGUGAGUAAUGCCUAGGAAUCUGCCUGGUAGUGGGGGACAACGUUUCGAAAGGAACGCUAAUACCGCAUACGUCCUACGGGAGAAAGCAGGGGACCUUCGGGCCUUGCGCUAUCAGAUGAGCCUAGGUCGGAUUAGCUAGUUGGUGAGGUAAUGGCUCACCAAGGCGACGAUCCGUAACUGGUCUGAGAGGAUGAUCAGUCACACUGGAACUGAGACACGGUCCAGACUCCUACGGGAGGCAGCAGUGGGGAAUAUUGGACAAUGGGCGAAAGCCUGAUCCAGCCAUGCCGCGUGUGUGAAGAAGGUCUUCGGAUUGUAAAGCACUUUAAGUUGGGAGGAAGGGUUGUAGAUUAAUACUCUGCAAUUUUGACGUUACCGACAGAAUAAGCACCGGCUAACUCUGUGCCAGCAGCCGCGGUAAUACAGAGGGUGCAAGCGUUAAUCGGAAUUACUGGGCGUAAAGCGCGCGUAGGUGGUUCGUUAAGUUGGAUGUGAAAUC